UCUCAACUGUUCCCCUGGUAACAGUGCGCACCUGCUGCUGCUGUUUCACGUCUGGAGACUCAACAUGAUGGACGGAGAUGUAAUGCAACAUUUUCGCUGUUGUUGUUGGUUCGUGUUACUUGUCGUGUCCCGAUGCUCUUGGACAUUUUCAAUCGGGACUAUUAAUAAUUGACGCACGUGAAUAUUGACAGAGAAAAAAGAAGCAGAGCCUUGCUGAGGAGACUGAGGAGCCUACCGUUAAAGAACCAGAGCCAAAGGUGCAAGCAGAGCCACAGCAGACCUCCCCCUCUCCACCUCCAAGUCCUGAACCAGUUAAGAUCUGUGAGCCUGAGCCGGAGUCGGAGCCAGAAUCAGAACCAGAAUCAGAACCAGAAUCAGAACCAGAAGCAGAACCAAAGACAAAGACACAGGAAGCCAACUCAGAAGCUGAGCCUGUAACCCAGCAGCCGCAGAAAGCAAAGGAAGACGAUCAAAACACCAACGCUGACAAAGAGGAAGCUACUGAGGACGGCUGUGAUGCUCCAGUCAGCUGUGAUGCAUUUAAGAGCUGCCUGAUGCGCAUUCCUCACACCUCCGAGUGCCUCGGCAACAUCAACGCGUUCUUCAAAGAGAACGGCAUCUCCACUCCCAAAAUACCCUCCAUGCCUAAGCUACCCACCCAGCUCUCUGACGUUACCAAGUACUUACCCUCCCUUCCCCCUGAAUUGCGCCAAGAGCUCUCCCAGAUCCGACUCACGCAGGUCCCCCGAAAUAUUGCCCAGACUCUAACUGAGCUUUUGCCUAAAAGCUCCGAGGGUUCAUUCAGCCCCAAUCUGUCCGGUCUUUCUGAGAGCUUUUCAAGCAUCCCGGAGAAACUCUCCCAGAUUCCCAGCCGAACGCAGCAGUACUUCCUCAACGUCCAGAACCGCCU
rnacentral:lncRNA from 1 species